UACAGAGGGUGCAAGCGUUAAUCGGAAUUACUGGGCGUAAAGCGUGCGUAGGCGGAUAUCUAAGCCGAUUGUGAAAUCCCCGGGCUUAACCUGGGAACUGCAGUCGGGACUGGAUGUCUAGAGUAUGGUAGAGGAAAGUGGAAUUCCCGGUGUAGCGGUGAAAUGCGUAGAUAUCGGGAAGAACACCAGUGGCGAAGGCGGCUUUCUGGACCAAUACUGACGCUGAGGCACGAAAGCGUGGGGAGCAAACAGG
rnacentral:rRNA from 1 species